UACGUAGGGGGCGAGCGUUGUCCGGAAUCAUUGGGCGUAAAGCGCGUGUAGGCGGCCCGGUAAGUCCGCUGUGAAAGUCCAGGGCUCAACCCUGGGAUGCCGGUGGAUACUGUCGGGCUCGAGUCCGGAAGAGGCGAGUGGAAUUCCUGGUGUAGCGGUGAAAUGCGCAGAUAUCAGGAGGAACACCUAUGGCGAAGGCAGCUCUCUGGGACGGUACUGACGCUGAGACGCGAAAGCGUGGGGAGCGAACAGG
rnacentral:rRNA from 1 species